GCUGGGCGUGGUGGUGGGCGCCUGUAAUCCCAGCUACUCUGGAGGCUGAGGCAGGAGAAUCACUUGAACCCGGGAGGUGGAGGUUGCAGUGAGCCAAAAUUGUGCCACUGCACUCCAGCCUGGGUGACAGAGAGAGAUUCCGUCUCAA
rnacentral:SRP_RNA from 1 species